rnacentral:rRNA from 1 species
ACGGAGGGUGCAAGCGUUGUCCGGAUUUAUUGGGUUUAAAGGGUGCGUAGGCGGUAUUGUAAGUCAGUGGUGAAAUCUUGCGGCUUAACCGUAAAAUUGCCAUAGAUACUGCAGUACUUGAGUCCGUUUGAGGUGGUUGGAAUGCGUAGUGUAGCGGUGAAAUGCAUAGAUAUUACGCAGAACACCUAUUGCGAAGGCAGAUCACUAAGACGGAACUGACGCUGAGGCACGAAAGCGUGGGGAGCGAACAGG